rnacentral:ncRNA from 1 species
UAUCUGGUUGAUUCUGCCAGUAGUCAUAUGCUUGUCUCAAAGAUUAAGCCAUGCAUGUCUAAGUAUAAGCAAUUAUACGGCGAAACUGCGAAUGGCUCAUUAUAUAAGUUAUCGUUUAUUUGAUAGUACCUUACUACUUGGAUAACCGUGGUAAUUCUAGAGCUAAUACAUGCUAAAAAUCCCGACUUCGGAAGGGAUGUAUUUAUUAGAUUAAAAACCAAUGCCCUUCGGGGCUCCUUGGUGAUUCAUGAUAACUUCGCGAAUCGCAUGGCCUUGCGCCGGCGAUGGUUCAUUCAAAUUUCUUCCCUAUCAACUUUCGAUG